ACUCCUACGGGAGGCAGCAGUGGGGAAUAUUGCACAAUGGGGGAAACCCUGAUGCAGCCAUGCCGCGUGUGUGAAGAAGGCCUUGGGUUGUAAAGCACUUUCAGUAGGGAGGAAGGUAGUGUAGUUAACACCUGCAUUAUUUGUACGUUACCUACAGAAGAAGCACCGGCUAACUCCGUGCCAGCAGCCGCGGUAAGUACGGAGGGUGCGAGCGUUAAUCGGAAUUACUGGGCGUAAAGCGCAUGCAGGCGGCCUGUUAAGUCAGAUGUGAAAGCCCGGGGUCGUUAACCUCGGAAUUGCAUUUGAAACUGGCAGGCUAGAGUCUUGUAGAGGGGUUAGAAUUUCAGGUGUAGCGGUGAAAUGCGUAGAGAUCUGAAGGAAUACCGAGUGGCGAAGGC
rnacentral:rRNA from 1 species